UCCUACGGGAGGCAGCAGUGGGGAAUAUUGGGCAAUGGGCGCAAGCCUGACCCAGCAACGCCGCGUGAAGGAAGAAGGCUUUCGGGUUGUAAACUUCUUUUAUUGAGGACGAAACAAAUGACGGUACUCAAUGAAUAAGCCACGGCUAACUACGUGCCAGCAGCCGCGGUAAUACGUAGGUGGCAAGCGUUAUCCGGAUUUACUGGGUGUAAAGGGCGCGUAGGCGGGAUGGCAAGUCAGAUGUGAAAUCCGGGGGCUCAACCCCUGAACUGCAUUUGAAACUGUCGUUCUUGAGUACUGGAGAG
rnacentral:rRNA from 1 species